AGUGAUGUUUUUACACCCCUUUGUAGGAUCAUGCUCAGUCAAGUUGCAUAAGGGAAAACAAGGGAUUUUGCAAGGUCCUUGUGAUAUUCGACUUGCUUGUGUGUUUAUGCGUCAGUGAAUUCCUGGAUCAGAGUGACUUUUCAUUAAGAGACUGCAGAAAUCUCUCUGUCUUAAGUGUCUUCAGGUGGCGCUUGUCUGAUCAUCAAUGCUUGAAAAGGGUGAGAAAUCUCAGAAGUCUGAUGGAAGUGAGCGCUUUAAGACAACCUGCUUCUAUCUGAUGUGGAGUUUGCUCUGGCUGUUCAUACUGGUCCUUUUUGCCUGGCCUUUAAGCAUGGCCUUGGCAGGCCUUUAUGGAUUUGUCUCCCCUUUCAUUACGUUGGUGGGACUUGAUGACGUUAGCGACGCCCUGCUGCAAGGAGUAAAUGUGGGGAGAGAGUGUGCUCAGAACGUCAGAAACGGCAAGCCCAUGUGUUGAAGAUGGCGCUGUGUCUGGCAAGGAUUCUGCUGCUCACUCCAUCAAAUGUCACACCAUCGUGUUCAUCAAAUGUCACACCAUUGUGAAUUUCUCGUUUUUACACGGUGAAUUAAAGAGCUUUUAUUUCAAUGUAAAAGGUAUUUGGCAAUUUCCACCCCCCCACACACACACACUUAAUAAUCUAUGAAGGACACUGAUUUAAUAUGACUGUUUUAUAAGCUUACAGUGGAGGUUGUGAUCUUUCAUAUCUACACAAUGAGUUAUGAUGACUAACUUAUCUCUGGAAAUACAACAUUCUGAAAUAUUGCCUGGGAUUGAGGACAGGGCCAGGACACUGUGGCCAGUCUGUGCUUUGAUUGUGUUCCUAUGGACUGGGGAAUGGAUUGUUCUCACCAGAAACUAAGCAGUCUCCAUCCAACUGAAACUGCUUGUGCUCAUUAGCUGGUGAGAAGAUGUGAUCAGAUGUUUCUCCCUGGGUAACUGAUUAGAGUCCCCACUGGUGGCCAGAGGGAGAGGACAGACCGCAUAGGCAAGCAGGCAGCCAGUGACAACACAUAAUCCAGGAGGCAAUCUCUGCAGCACAGGCAGAGUUCAAGUUUUGCAAGUUCAGUUUCACCAAUUUUGAGAGAGAUCAGUGUAGGUUCCUCCAGGCAGAACAUUAUGCUCCACUGUCAAUUGGAUCUGGCUGUACUUCAUGUGUAUGCCUCCUUUCAAUUGUCCACAGCCUCCUUUGUGUCAACAGCAGAACCCCCAGAACAAGAACAUAUCCAGAUUUGCUCCCCAACAGCACAAUAUGCAGAACUUCCCUGUGUUUUUUCCUCCCUGUGAAUAAUUGACUUGGAGAGAGAGGGUUUUUGUGAGACCAACAUUCUUUCUCUGUUUUCCCUGCAACGAAUUUAUAUCACCAUUGCUAUUUGUUAAGACAGGAAUAUAGAAUUAUGAAGACCAAGUGUGUCCCGUGGCUUCUGAUGCACAGCCUGGUUCUGAAGGAGCAUAGAGAGGCCACCCAUGCUGCAGCUGGAGCCGCCUGAGGAAUUCUUGCUGACUCACCCAGAAUUCCUCCAGAGGAUCUAAGGGACUACAAAAGCACUGCCACCAUUUGAAAGGAUGUAGUAUAUGUAGUCUCAUCGUGCCUGUCCUCUACUGGUCCGUCGGUGUAGUUUGGAGCCUAAGAGCCACCCUCAGCCCUCGCUGCACCCAUUGGGGAAGACAGCAUUGCUGGGGACCCAGCUCAGUGCCUGCACUCUCUGUGACUAUAUUGUGGCUGAUUAUAUUGCAAACAUAAUUUGGGCUUCCUGAUUUACUAACUUUCCUUGUGCUCCUAGGACCAUAUUUCCUCACAUUUUAAAGGGCAGUAUGUUACAUUUGUUGCUUCCGUAUGUAGCACUAUGCUAAGUAUCUGAAUCCAAGACAUUCUGGGCUGGGGGAUAACGGGCUAUGGGGGGGCUCUGAAGAGGGCAAAUGUAACUGGGUAGCUUUAUUGUCAAGUACAGCUUUGUAAAAUACAGGAGUUAGAUUUUCUUUGUUGAAACAACAUUUUAGUUUUUUCUCAUGAAUUUUUCUUAGAAAUAUUAUAAUAAGCUCUCAGAAUUAACCCAUUUUUCUGAUUGCAACUGAUGGCAGAGCACAGCUGUUUUAUCGAUGAAAAUAUUCCCUCAUUGGAAGAAUAGUGAACCUAUUUCACUAUUUAAAUUUUUUUCACUAACAUAACCUCAUAUUUACCAUGGUCUGACAUCUUUGCCAUUUUAGGUAGGCAUGUCUGACCUUUGAAUAGAUACAUAUGUUUUCAUUUCUAACUCUCUUUAUCAGAAGCUCUCUGGGUUUUUCGCAUGUCUUGAAUACUUGCCUAUGUUUGAUCUGUGUUGCCAAGUUUGGGACUGCUUCAGUCUGGGGCUGGGCCAUCCACAGAAAGCAUUUUAGUGCAUACAAAAAAUCCUAACUAUGCCUAAAGACUUUUCUGAAUGGAAAAGCAUAUUGCCAGCAUCCACCAUUCUCGCUUCAUCCUCACAUUUAACAGCUUUAAUCCAAACACUAACUUAAAGUUUGACCCUUGCACAAUUAAGAAGUACUUAACUGUACUUUAGCUAUAUUUAUUUUUAGAUGUGGCUGAAUUUUAACAACUAGCUAGCCCAGUUACAGUACAAAAGCAAUUCACUGACUGAAAAUGUGUUUUUUAUGGGAAGCAUGUUUUUAUGCAGACAAAAUCUGCUUUAUUCACACAGGUAUAAAUCUGGAAUAAUUUCAUUGUCUUCUGUGGCAUCAUACCAGUGUAAAACAGAUUCUGUACUGUGAUUAGUAAAUGUUAGUCAAAAAUAAACUAAAAUAUCCAGGUAUUUUCACAUAGAUCCAUACAUGAAUAGAAAUGCUACAUUUGCUGAUAGAUUAUGAUAAUAUUAAACCUACCCAAUUAUGUUCAUUCAUGCUGUUCAAAGAAAUGCCAGUGAUCUUUCAAUAGCUGAGAUUAUGGUGUGAUAGUACAUUGCCAUUUUAUUUUAUACAGUGCCUUUCUUAUAUGCGAUCUUAAAAUGCUUCAUACAGUGAAAUGAAGUAACACCUGGCAUAAAUCUUUUAGGCCUUGUCUACUCUUGCAGUGGUGCAUAGGAUACCUGUAGCUACAUGUGGCAGUGA